rnacentral:tRNA from 1 species
GUCCGAUAUGGUCUAGUGGCUAGGAUUUGCCGCUCUCACUCGCAGAGUCAGUUCGCUCUCAAAGCGCCGGCAAGGCCCGGGUUCGAUUCCCGGUGUCGGAA